rnacentral:rRNA from 1 species
AUUGAACGCUGGCGGCAUGCCUUACACAUGCAAGUCGAACGGCAGCACGGGAGCAAUCCUGGUGGCGAGUGGCGAACGGGUGAGUAAAGUAUCGGAACGUGCCCAGUCGAGGGGGAUAACGUAGCGAAAGUUACGCUAAUACCGCAUACGAUCUAUGGAUGAAAGCGGGGGAUCGCAAGACCUCGCGAGAUUGGAGCGGCCGAUAUCAGAUUAGGUAGUUGGUGGGGUAAAGGCUCACCAAGCCGACGAUCUGUAGCUGGUCUGAGAGGACGACCAGCCACACUGGGACUGAGACACGGCCCAGACUCCUACGGGAGGCAGCAGUGGGGAAUUUUGGACAAUGGGCGAAAGCCUGAUCCAGCCAUGCCGCGUGCAGGAUGAAGGCCUUCGGGUUGUAAACUGCUUUUGUACGGAACGAAAAGGUUUGGGCUAAUAAGCUGAGCUCAUGACGGUACCGUAAGAAUAAGCACCGGCUAACUACGUGCCAGCCGCCGCGGUAAGAC